rnacentral:rRNA from 1 species
UACGGGGGGGGCAAGCGUUGUUCGGAAUUACUGGGCGUAAAGGGCUCGUAGGUGGCCAACUAAGUCGGACGUGAAAUCCCUCAGCUUAACUGGGGAACUGCGUCCGAUACUGGAUGGCUUGAGUUUGGGAGAGGGAUGCGGAAUUCCAGGUGUAGCGGUGAAAUGCGUAGAUAUCUGGAGGAACACCGGUGGCGAAGGCGGCAUUCUGGACCGACAUUGACGCUGAGGAGCGAAAGCCAGGGGAGCAAACGGG